rnacentral:rRNA from 1 species
GGGSUUCCCUGAGUUUGUAGACUUCGGUCUGCUACCUCUUACCCAUGUCUUUUGAGUACCUUCGUUUCCUCGGCGGGUCCGCCCGCCGAUUGGACAACAUUCAAACCCUUUGCAGUUGCAAUCAGCGUCUGAAAAAACAUAAUAGUUACAACUUUCAACAACGGAUCUCUUGGUUCUGGCAUCGAUGAAGAACGCAGCGAAAUGCGAUAAGUAGUGUGAAUUGCAGAAUUCAGUGAAUCAUCGAAUCUUUGAACGCACAUUGCGCCCCUUGGUAUUCCAUGGGGCAUGCCUGUUCGAGCGUCAUUUGUACCUUCAAGCUCUGCUUGGUGUUGGGUGUUUGUCUCGCCUCUGCGUGUAGACUCGCCUUAAAACAAUUGGCAGCCGGCGUAUUGAUUUCGGAGCGCAGUACAUCUCGCGCUUUGCACUCAUAACGACGACGUCCAAAAGUACAUUUUUACACUCUUGACCUCGGAUCAGGUAGGGAUACCCGCUGAACUUAAGCAUAUCAAUAAGCGGAGGAARAU